GCGAUGGUGGCGGAACUGGCAGACGCGCAGGAUUUAGGUUCCUGUCCCGAAAGGGGUGAGGGUUCGAGUCCCUCCCAUCGCA
rnacentral:tRNA from 1 species